GUCCAUUAUCACCCCGCGGGAAAUCUUCACUCCCAGUAUAGUCGAAUUUUCCAUCGUCCCCUUCUCUCUUACUCUAAAGAAUCGCUUGAUCGAGCUGCAAGAUCUCCCCCGUUCUGACUCGAACGAACGCCCAUACUCGGAUUUUCUCCAUCAUCCCCUUCUCUUCCACUCUAUCAUCAAGAAUUGAUUUUAUUAGGCCUGCAACAUCAAGAAUCAUCCCCUUCUCUUUCACUCCGUCCUCUCUCUAUCUUUCUAUUUUUGAUUUGAGUGUCUUUCUUGGGAAAACCCUAGUGGCAUUACGACACCAUUGCCGCCGGAAGAGUUGUGGUCACUCCCCCUUCUCUCUCACUCUAUCAAUAAGCAGUUGAUGGAGCGUGCAACAUCUCCCCUGCUCUCACUCAAACGAUCUCCAGCUUGCUAAAACCACUGUCUCUCUCUAUCUUUCUUUUUGUAACCGAAUGUCCUUCUUGAGAGAAUCGGCAUUACGGCACCAUUGCCGCUGGAAGAGUUGUGGCUUUAGGCUUGGUUGAAGGUGGAUUUAUCUAUUUGUGGCAUUUGGAAAGGCAAGGUUGAACAUGGUAAAGGAGGAUACUUCACAUGUGUAGAUGGAGACAUUUGAUCAAAUUUUACAUGACAAUUUUUUUUUUUUUUUGGAUCGAGUUUCAUGUAUUCAAGAAACUUGAAUUUGUAGCAAACACAUGGAUGUUAAAGCACCUUGAGAUAUAGUUCAUGCAUUGAAGAACCUUUUAAUGGAAUUUUAAAU